UGAGGCCCGAGAGCGCCCCCCGCCUCAGCCCGGCGUGUGCCCUGUCUGGCCCGCGCCGGGGGGACGCGACCACGCGGGGACACCUGGGUUCCCCCCACCCUAAAACGGCAGGGCUCCGGGAGAGAUUCUCCUCAGCCUAGCGACCCGGCAUUUAAGGACGCAGGAGCCAGCGGGGGACCUUCGGACUUCUCCAGCCGUGUUCCUGCAAGCGGAGAAUUUUCCACCCGGGCUCCAGAAGAGGCAGACCCCCAACCACCACCCCGGCCCGACCCAUCCCGCCACGGGAUCAUCUCAGCUCCGAGCCGAGCGCCUUCUGUGGGGGCAGCUAGACCGGCUCUUGUUCCUGAGGGCCAGAUCCAGCCGCUUAUUGGAUGUCUCCACCGCGAGGCCGAGCAGAGAACAGAAUUGAUUGUGGCAUCUGCCUUCCACCACCACCAGCCUGCUCCUCCCCGUGUGGUUCCCUGCUUUGAUGAGCAGACGCGGCCCUCUACUGCACUAACUUGAGUGCUUCCUCUGUCUCUCUCCUUCUCCCGACCCUACUACAUCAAGUCACUUCCACCUGAACCUACCCAGGGGGACUCUCGUCCCUUCCUAGCCUGGCCGCUCGCUUCCUUCCAGUCACUCUGCUGUCCACUUUCAACCUUCACACUUGUGGCCCGGAUCCUCUUUUUAAAAAAACACAGAAGUCACUCAAGUGAUCAGCUGUGCAUUUGGAAUCAGAACACUGAAGUUUGAGGAAACAAGAAAGGAAAAAGUGAAUUUCAAGCCUCCAAAAUUCAGGACCCACUUUGGGGAUUAAAGAUCUUUCUGGUGGCUCAGACGGUAAAGAAUCCGCCUGCAAUGCCGGAGACCCGGGUUCGAUCCCUGUUUGGGAAGAUCCCCUGGAGAAAGAAAUGGCAACCCACUCCAGUACUCUUGCGUGGAAAAUCCCAUGGACGGAGGAGCCUGCUGGGCUACAGUCUAAUGGGUUGCAAAGAGCCGGACAGGAUUGAGCAACUUUACUUGGGGAUUAACACCACAAUUUACUUCCUGAUGAAGAAUGCUUAUGAAAUUUCACCUGCAUGGUCCUGGCAACACUAUUAAGAGAUUUGUAAGAACAGACCAGCCAUAGGGAUGGAGCCAGUAAUUUGCUUGCCUUUUCCAGAUGACUUUCAGGUGAUUAAAUACAGAAGGAAAAGGAAUUAAGGAGUCAAGUGCCUGUCACCUGAGCUUUGUGAUUAUUUCAAAAUGCUUUCUUUGGAAGCCACAUGAGAAGUCUGGCUUCUGAUUUCAUCUUCCAUUUCACAUCCUAUUGACAAACUGCCCCUGCCACCAGCCUCUUAAUAUAGUAGAAUUGUUGUUCAGUCGUUCGGUCAUGUCUGACUUUUUGUGACCCCAUGGACUGCAGCAUGCUAGGCUUCCCUGUCCUUCACUAUCUCCAGGAGUUUGCUCAAACUCAUGUUCAUUGAGUCAGUGAUGCCAUCCAACCAUCUCAUCCUCUCUCGCCCCAGGGAUUUUUUUUUUUUUUUUAAUCCCUUGGCAUUCUCUAGAACAGAAUUUUUUUGAGAUGCGGGGUUGUCCCAUGGCCUUCUCCUACCUCCUCCUUCCUCUAUGCCUUGAAAACAAACAGAGAGGCCCUACUCCUCUAAAGAACUUCAGGGCCACUUACUGUAGCAAACCUAUGAUGUAAGUGCAGAGGUUGACAAAGGAUGUUAGGAAGCCCCUGCCUUCAAACAGCCAGGUCUUUGGCUUUUGCCACAGAAACUCAUUUUCCUCCAGACCAGAGUUCAACCCAAAGUGAAUGCUGCUGGAAGGAAAUUUCACUCUGCCUCUGUUCUUACAAGCUGUGGGACCUACACAAAUUACUUAGCUAGUUUCUUGACCAAUGCUGUCUUUACGCCAGAGGUAAACUGACACCAGGGGCUUCCGAGGUUGCUCAGUGGUUAAAAACUCUGCCUGCCAGUGCAGGAGACCUGAGUUCCAUCCCUGCAUCGGGAAGAUCCCCUGGAGUAGGAAAUGGCAGCCCACUCCAGUAUUCUUGCCUGGAGAAUCCCACGGACAGAGGAGCCUGG
ensembl:lncRNA